rnacentral:tRNA from 1 species
GGGUGCUUAGCUCAGCUGGGAGAGCGCCGCCCUUACAAGGCGAAGGUCGUGGGUUCAAAUCCCCCAGCACCCACCA